rnacentral:rRNA from 1 species
GACGAACGCUGGCGGCGUGCCUAAUACAUGCAAGUAGAACGCUGAGGGAGGAGCUUGCUCUUCUGGAUGAGUUGCGAACGGGUGAGUAACGCGUAGGUAACCUGCCUGGUAGCGGGGGAUAACUAUUGGAAACGAUAGCUAAUACCGCAUAACAGUAGAUGUUGCAUGACAUUUACUUAAAAGGUGCAAUUUCAUCACUACCAGAUGGACCUGCGUUGUAUUAUCUAGUUGGUGGGGUAACGGCUCACCAAGGCGACGAUACAUAGCCGACCUGAGAGGGUGAUCGGCCACACUGGGACUGAGACACGGCCCAGACUCCUACGGGAGGCAGCAGUAGGGAAUCUUCGGGAAUGGACGGAAGUCUGACCGAGCAACGCCGCGUGAGUGAAGAAGGUUUUCGGAUCGUAAAGCUCUGUUGUAAGGGAAGAACGAGUGUGAGAGUGGAAAGUUCACACUGUGACGGUAUCUUACCAGAAAGGGACGGCUAACUACGUG